rnacentral:rRNA from 1 species
UACGUAGGGUGCAAGCGUUGUCCGGAAUUAUUGGGCGUAAAGAGCUUGUAGGCGGUUUGUCGCGUCUGCUGUGAAAUUUCGGGGCUCAACCCCGAACUUGCAGUGGGUACGGGGCAGACUAGAGUGUGGUAGGGGGAGACUGGAAUUCCUGGUGUAGCGGUGAAAAUGCGCAGAUAUCAGGAGGAACACCGAUGGCGAAGGGCAGGUCUCUGGGGCCACUACUGACGU